CAAAUCAUCAAGUUGCUGAGGACAAUCAUUUAACGCCUGUUUUAUAUCCAUUUCCAUCAAGUGAUAUUGUUGGCAUACUAAAUAGGCUUCAGCCCGAGCAAACAAGAUAUUUGACCAGAAAAUUCGAUUAUAAUUAGAACCAACAGCAGAGUGGAAAACUUCUAGGGCUUUAGUGAAGUGAUUAAUUGCCAAAUAAGGUUCACCUUGACUUCGGGCUAACCGUCCAUAUUGAAAGGCCGCUGCAACUAUGUCCAUCUCUUAAAUAUUUGCC